CAUGACUGCUGGACACUCGAACUAAUCUCAUGUCUUCAUGCAUGCUGGAAUUGACGCUCACCAUGCACAACUGUUGAUAGACGUAUAGUUGUCAAACGGUGUUUCGAAAAUUACUCAAACAAAAAAAACUAGUGCUCUAACGAUUAAUGAAAUCAGCAGCUUACACUGGAGCCACAAUCGACAGCAGUUUUCAUGUUUCCCUCAAGUGGAAUGAGUCCUCCAAUUCGAGGCAUAUAAAAGCUUUGACUCCAAUCUGGACGAGCUAAUUGUAGAGCUGGAGAAGUGUAAUAAGUGUCACCAAGCCCUACGCCAAAGUGAAAUGUUCCCUGAAACAGUCACAUUCAAUGAAAUGUUUUAUAAUUAAAUUUUCCUAAUAUUUUCCACCCACUAAUAAGCAAACGGCGAGAUUUCUGCUUACGUCUAGUUUCGGAGGGGUCACAAUUCCGUAGUGCGGAACCUGGCAGAGUUCGAUAUCUUCUGAUACUAAAGAUAAAUGGCAUCCGAGAGAAUUCAGUAUAAAACACCACGGCUGCAACUCCAAUAAUAGAGUACUGGAGAUGAGUCCGGCAUCUUGAUAUUUCACCUAGAAAAUACAGCGCUUUUGAAUUGAGGGUUGAAAGUUAUGGAUGACUAAAACAGGCGAAUUCGAAUCUCAUUUACUUGAACAUGAGUUUGGGGUUGUUCAGCUGAUGUCCAUUCAGAAUUUUCUCUGGUCUACCGAACUAUACGACAGCGGCACAUAUGGAUUUGAAGCUGAUAUACCUGAUCUAAUGAUCAAAUGAAAAUUGCACUGAUAUUAUUGAUACGUUACAAACAAUGACACAAAUUUCAUUGAAAUGGAUAAAAAAUAUAAGUCUGGACUUUACUCGAGUUGAAACGUAAGCUGAUGAAAGUGUUCAAAAGUUCCAGGACAGUACAAUUGCUGUCUUUCUCCACUUCCAUUGACAUUUGCAGACAACGAAACUUUCAAAGAAGGAGUUUCCAUCUGUACCUUUGCCGGCACGGGCAGCAAACGCCUGACUCCAAGCCCAGGAAUUAUCUUCAAUGGCGAUCCUCAAUAAUUGAUUGUUAACACUGCGCCAAAAAUAAAAGUGACACUGUCUACUUUGGAGUAUGGUGUUGUCUUCAGUACCGCUCUGUCCAAAACGAAUCGGAAUGUUGCUGUCAUUAGCAAUUACAUAUCUUUGGGUCCAGCACUUCGUGCAUAUUGAGAAGUCCGUAAUCUAAUACGCGAAUGCUAACGAUUCCACCAAUGUCAACCAUCACUGAAUUAUCUGCCCAUCGAUUUAGUACCACAAUGGCUUUUUUGUGCUCAAAAUUGAGAUA